AGAUGAAUGAAGCAUGGUAAUGUGCACAUAAAUUGAAUUGGGUCUCUAGGCCUCUCUGAUACCAUUUGGCUUUGAUUUGGAAGCAUGGUUCCACAACAAAAUA